GUUUCCUCAGUCAGCUGUAGCCUUUGGAUUGCUACUCAAAGCGGUCCUUCUCUUUUCCCCCUUGUUAUACCCUCUGCAAGCAUCCCAAGCGACGGACUCAUGACCAUCGGGUGCCUCGCCAAGGACGUCCUACCUGCCUUGGUCAGUUUCAGCUGGAAUGAUUACAACAACAUCAGUAUCAAUGCAGAGUAUGUUACACAAUACCCCACUAUUGGCAAUUCUUCUGGGCCAUACUCUUCGGUCUCCCAGGUGACGGUCUCUGCCCAUGACUGGCGGAAUUUUCAACCGUUCUUCUGCAAAGCUGAACACGUCGAUGGAGAAGCGCAAGUCAUUCGUCAUACCUCAUGCACUGAGCCUGAAAUGAUCAUCCGUGCGCCCCGCCUAGAAGAUUUCGAGAACUCUGGUCCAAAUGCCACCAUCGUCUGCAUGGCUGCCAAUUUGCACACUAAAAGCAUCACAGUUCAGUGGCUGAAGGAUGGACGUGUGCUCGACGGGGGCGUCGCCAACACUGGACCAGUCGCAGUGGGUCCUAGCGGCUACAGCAUCAUCAGUGAGCUCGCAGUCGACAGGAGGGACUGGAUCUCUGACAAGAGAUUCUCCUGCGAAGUGCACAACGAGAACUUCACCAGCAUCAAGAAUAUCAGCAAGUCCCUUGUCUGUGAUAUGGGUCCUUGUUCAGAUGUGCAAGUCCGCGUGGAGACCAUCCCACCAUCCUUUACUGAUAUUUUCAUGACCAAGUCAGCCAAGCUGACCUGCAGAAUCUCCAACAUGCCCUAUGAUCAGGAACUUAAAGAACUGAGCGUCACCUGGACACGAGAACGUGACAACACACAGCUGGAGACCGUAAUUGGGGAGUCUAUCGCACAAGAAGACAAUGAAUUCAUAUUUGUAGACGCAACAGCAACUGUGUGCCCAGAAGAAUGGGACAGUGGGGACACCUUUAAGUGCAAAGUUACUAUUCCCUCCCUUCUUCCCACAGCUGAAACAAGAACCCUGCAGAAGCUUCAAGGUGGGACUCCCCACGCACCUGCUGUCUAUGUCCUCCCCCCACCCUCAGAACAACUGACUUUACAGGAGACGGCCACCCUCACUUGCCUGAUGAAAGGUUUCUACCCCAAUGAAUUCUUUGUGAAGUGGCUCCGGAAUGAUGAGCCUGUGGGAGACUCAGAGUACUUCAUCAGCCAACCCAUACAGGAAUCCAAGACCCCCGAGCGGUACUUCACCUAUAGCACGUUGAAUGUCAAAGAGCAGGACUGGAGUUAUGGAGUCAUUUACACUUGCGUGGUGGGACACGAGGCGCUUCCCCUUCAGACAACCCAGAAGACCAUAGACAAGAAUACGGCCUACCUUGAUGGGAUUGUAGCCACUGAUGAUGAUGAAGGACUCUCAAACAUCUCAUCCAACUUUUCCACCAUCAUCAUCCUCUUCCUUGUGAGCCUUUUCUACAGCGCAACCGUGACUGUCAUCAAGGUGAAAUAACAACGGCAACGACAUUGGGCAACGAUUCAUCAGUGGCUUAAGUCAGACUCCACCAUCUUUCAUUUUCUUUCAUCACCUACAUAAUAAAAAGCCUCUCCAUCCUCUUUUGUGAGAAGAUUGGAUUAAAUUAUUUUCUUGCUUCUUUUCCUUUCCAAAUGCCAUGUGAAAUAGCAAU